AUGGCGAGUCCCAAGCUCCUCAAAAAGCUGCGCCGCCCGCCUCUGGACUCGGCUCCAACGGGAUCCAGGCAUCCCCGCACUGGAGCCGUCGUCCCAGCAUCGUCGCCGGCCCCGCGGCUCCACCGCGUCGCCCCCUUCCCGUGGCCGCCUGAGCUUCUUCCCUGCUUCUUCUCUAGGAAGGCUGGAGCUCCCGCAACCACAGCACAAGGGAGGAACCCCGACACCCGCGCCUUCGGCCGCCUUGCGUCAGACGCCCCUGCCUCUUCGUCCCUGAUGUGCGUCUCCUCUCCCGCCUCGCAUGCCACCAACUCCGUCCAGAGCACCCGCAAAAGCUCCUCCGGCCUCCCCGUCCUCUGCUUCAUCUCCUCGUCAGCGCCCUGCUUCACUGGAGCCCAGCGCCAUCACCUCCCCUGCCGGUUGCAUGGACGCCAAGAUACCUUUUGUUUUGCCAAGACGCGACAACCAGGAACGCCCAAGGACGCCUCCGUGGAAUCCGCCAAGUUCCACUACCGAUGA
rnacentral:rRNA from 1 species